AGAGUUUGAUUAUGGCUCAGGAUGAACGCUAGCUACAGGCUUAACACAUGCAAGUCGAGGGGCAGCAUUGGGGUAGCAAUACUCAGAUGGCGACCGGCGCACGGGUGAGUAACACGUAUCCAACCUGCCGCUUACUCGGGGAUAGCCUUUCGAAAGAAAGAUUAAUACCCGAUGGUAUAAAGAGUUCGCAUGUUCUCUUUAUUAAAGAAUUUCGGUAAGCGAUGGGGAUGCGUUCCAUUAGAUAGUUGGCGGGGUAACGGCCCACCAAGUCUACGAUGGAUAGGGGUUCUGAGAGGAAGGUCCCCCACAUUGGAACUGAGACACGGUCCAAACUCCUACGGGAGGCAGCAGUGAGGAAUAUUGGCCAAUGGACGAGAGUCUGAACCAGCCAAAAGUAGCGUGAAGGAUGACUGCCCUAUGGGUUGUAAACUUCUUUUAUAAGGGAAUAAAGUGAGGGACGUGUCCCUUUUUGUAUGUACCUUAUGAAUAAGGAUCGGCUAACUCCGUGCCAGCCGCCGC
rnacentral:rRNA from 1 species